UUUGUACUCCCUCCAUUCGGAAUUACUUGUCGCAGAAAUGGAUGUAUCUAGACGUAUUUUAGUUCUAGAUACAUCCAUUUCUGAGACAAGUAAUUCCGAAUGGAGGGAGUACAUA
rnacentral:pre_miRNA from 1 species